UACGAAGGGUGCAAGCGUUACUCGGAAUUACUGGGCGUAAAGCGUGCGUAGGCGGUUUGUUAAGUCUGCUGUGAAAGCCCCGGGCUCAACCUGGGAACGGCAGUGGAUACUGGCAAGCUAGAGUGUGUCAGAGGAUGGUGGAAUUCCCGGUGUGGCGGUGAAAUGCGUAGAGAUCGGGAGGAACAUCAGUGGCGAAGGCGGCCAUCUGGGACAACACUGACGCUGAGGCACGAAGGCUAGGGUAGCGAACGGG
rnacentral:rRNA from 1 species